ACAGUGACAGCUGACUCACGCGUUAAAUCGUUUGUAACGGCUUUUCUCAUUAAUUAAAACACUAACCAGAGACUUUAGAAGAAACAAAACACGAAGCGCCCUGGACACAGUGAAAAUUCACCUACAAUCCUUUGAAACCAAACCUGGAAAGGCGUCCUCUCGUUUGUUUGCUAUGAAAAAGGCAUUUUUGAAGUCCAACACCUGCACGUGCGCAGCUUGUGAACGACUCACCUCAGGAUUAAAUGGACAUUUUUUGCUGCUUUGCCUUUGAAAAACGACACUUCGCAAGUGAUCAACAGUGCCCUGGUCAGCUCACAGAUGAUCGGGAUCUUGUUCAGCCACUCAUUUCUAACAUUGGGAUCCUUCAGAUGGAUAUGCAGAGCUGCAGGUGCUGCACACAUCCAGGAAUGGCUCAAGAAUGUUAGAAAUGGACAAACCGUUGUGGUACAGAAAAUUCUGAUGGCUACAUGGAAAAACAGUCCUGUGCACUUUUCAUUCCCCAGUAGGCCAAGGCGCAAUCUAGUGCUGCAGAUGGUUGAAGUAUCUCCAUUAAUCUUUUAUUGGUAUGUAAUUAUUUUUUGCCACUGCAUAAUUAAUAACGUCACUUUGAUUUCUAUAGUCACGGUGUGCGAUUACAGAGAGCGUGUGAACGCAACAUUCUUUGCAGUGAUGUCAGUGAGUCGUUGUAUGACAGCCUUCCGUGUCAUUGAAACUGACAUUUGACCAAUGUUGGGCUAGUGAUUGAUGGGAAAUCUAAGGGGUGAGGCCAAGCCACUGAAGCCAGCAAUAGGUCAAUGCUUGAUUCAUAUCUUCUAAGCCCACAGGGAGAACGCCCAGGUACUUGUUACUGGUCACACUAGGCCAGCGUUAGGCCUUGGUUUGCUUGGACGGCUGGGCAGAGGCCAGGCUUCUGCUGAGUGAGGGCUAUUUCUGAAGGACACUGGGGAGGAUACAGCUGGUGUCCCUGCUGUUCAGAGUGUAAAGCAGCCAGCCUGCUGAAACAAAGCCAAUCGCUGCUGCUGAGAAACCGUCUGUCCUCGAUGGAAUCAAACCCAUCUCUUGUUCUUCGUUCACCUCUGUUGUGUGCUGUCAUCUGCAGUUACUGUCUAUAUAUGUUACAGUACAGAAGAUGGAAAAGAUCAGGCUUUCUUGGUCCUGGAAUGACAUUCUUAUUAGGCAGUCAAAUUUUAUGUUUAGAUUUGGCGACAUGCUCCUGGAUGAGUAUGUUUUUGCUGGUCCUGGAGCAACAUUUCUGAGCUAUCCCUAUCCCUAUCCCUAACUCCAACCCUAGCCAUUAAAGAGUUAUUAAAUUAGAAGGAAAUGAUAGCUUUAUAAGAGUGUUAUUACUCUAAAUUCUGGUUGUUUGUUGUUGUUCCAGGACCAACAAGUUUCCUAAUCCAGGAACACAUUUUACUUCACGGUCAAUCUGGUCUAUGAUUGAUGAAUGUUGUUGUCCUAUUUGACUGAAUUGUGUUGUACUACAUACAAGAAUGAGCCCUAAGCUUCAAACAUGAUUAGGUAAAAAUACAGGUUCUGGGUUUAAAAAAAAAAAAAAAGGGAUCUUCCGAUCUUAAGUUUGAUGUUGUGUGAGUUUAAAGUCUGUGUUUAAUGUGAUGCAA